rnacentral:rRNA from 1 species
UACGGAGGGAGCUAGCGUUGUUCGGAAUUACUGGGCGUAAAGCGCGCGUAGGCGGCUUUGUAAGUUAGAGGUGAAAGCCUGGAGCUCAACUUCAGAAUUGCCUUUUAAGACUGCAUCGCUUGAAUCCGGGAGAGGUGAGUGGAAUUCCGAGUGUAGAGGUGAAAUUCGUAGAUAUUCGCAAGAACACCCAGUGGCGAAAGGCGGCUCACUGGCCCGGUACUGACGCUGAGGUGCGAAAGCGUGGGAGCAAACAGGAUUGAGAAACCCGU